UGUGUGUGUGUGUGUGUGUGUGUGUGUGUGUGCGCGCGCGCACGCACACACAGACACACAGACACACAGACA
rnacentral:miRNA from 1 species